rnacentral:rRNA from 1 species
GUCUUUUUGAAUUUAAUUUAAAGUCUAAUCUGCCCACUGAUAAUAUUUAUUAAAUGGCCGCAGUAUUUUAACUGUGCAAAGGUAGCAUAAUCAUUAGUCUUUUAAUUGAGGGCUGGAAUGAAUGAUUGGACGAGAAAUAAACUGUCUCAUAAAAAUUUUUUUUUAAAAUUUUAUUUUUUAGUUAAAAAGCUAAAAUUAUUUUAAAAGACGAGAAGACCCUAUAGAUCUUUAUAUAAAUUUUAUAUUUUAUUUUUAAGAUGUUUUUAAUAAUUAUAUUUAUUUAUAUUUUGUUGGGGUGACAUUGAAAUUUAAUAAACUUUCAAUUAUAAUUUAACAUAUAUUAAUGGUUAAUGUUGAUCCUGUAUUAUGGAUAUAAAAAUUAAGUUACCUUAGGGAUAACAGSGUAAUUAUUCCGGAGAGUUCAUAUUGAUGGAAUAGAUUGCGACCUCGAUGUUGGAUUAAGAUUAAUAAUAGGGGCAGUUUCUUAUUAUAUUAAGUCUGUUCGACUUUUAAAUUCUU